rnacentral:rRNA from 1 species
ACUCAAAGGAAUAGACGGGGACCCGCACAAGCGGUGGAGUAUGUGGUUUAAUUCGACGCAACACGAAAAACCUUACCUGGGCUCGAACGACUGGAAGUAAGCCCGAUGAAAGUUGGGACGACCUGUAAAGUCAGGAACCAGCCGAGGUGCUGCAUGGUUGUCGUCAGCUCGUGUCGUGAGAUGUUGGGUUAAGUCCCGCAACGAGCGCAACCCCCAUUAUCUGUUGCCACCCCGAAAGGGAGCACUCUGAUGAAACUGCCCACGAUGAGUGGGAGGAAGGUGGGGACGACGUCAAAUCACCAUGGCCCUUAUGUCCAGGGCUACACACGUACUACAAUGGCCAUCACAACGGGAUGCAAUGCCGUGAGGCGGAGCCAAUCCCUAAAAAUGGCCUCAGUUCAGAUUGUGGGCUGCAACUCGCCCACAUGAAGGAGGAAUCGCUAGUAAUCGCGAAUCAGAAGGUCGCGGUGAAUACGUUCCCGGGUCUUGCACACACCGCCCGU